rnacentral:rRNA from 1 species
GAUGAACGCUGGCGGCGUGCCUAAUACAUGCAAGUCGAACGGUCGGCUUCGGGCGAUAGUGGCGAACGGGUGAGUAACGCGUUGGUGACCUGCCCCGAAGAGAGGGAUAACAGACCGAAAGGUUUGCUAAUACCGCAUAAUCUGGUGGAAGAUUAGAAGUCUGCCAGGAAAGGGAGAAAUCCGCUUUGGGAGGGGCCUGCGUCCCCUCAGCUAGUUGGUAGGGUAACGGCUUACCAAGGCGAUGACGGGUAGGGGACCUGAGAGGGUGGCCCCCCACAAUGGAACUGAAACACGGUCCAUACACCUGCGGGUGGCAGCAGUGGGGAAUAUUGGUAAUGGGCGCAAGCCUGAACCAGCAACGCCGCGUGUGCGAUGAAGGCCUUCGGGUUGUAAAGCACUUUUGACCGGGAAGAGGAAGGACGGUACCGGUCGAAUAAGCCUCGGCUAACUACGUGCCAGCCGCCGCAGUAAGAC